CUUCCCUUCUUUUUUAACUCCUGCCAGAGGUUUGCUGAGCUAUACGCGUGUAAGGAAUUCCAUCCACCGGGCGGGUCCGACCUUGAAGUUGUCCCGUAAAUCAGGACCGUACGAUUAUCAGCUGGGCCAUUAGAAGCAGAUGGACGGAUUAGAAAACUCCAUCCAAAUGGCUCACCUGAUAAGAUAACAGGUCUGAAUUGUGGGAUGGAAGAUCCAUGUAAUGGGACCCGCUUGAUGGAUUGAUGGGAUCUCGUAGCCAUCUGCCAUGCUGGCACACGUAGCAUGGCCUGUACAUGAGCUGGCUUGUACACGCGUGUCAGCCCGCACGCUCCUGAUGUGCUACACACGAGUGAGCCGGUCAGGAAAACGUGUGUGAGAUUGGGGCCUUUCAUCAAGCUGGUCCACUGAAUGGCCUGGAUCUCAUACACAUCUGCUUAUAAUUUGCACGUGGCAUAUGGACUAUAAUCACAAUGGUCGGACAAUCCUAGCCGUUGGAAUGGUUUGAGUAUCUGAUUACUAUGAUUUUUACAUUUUUUUUUUUCUUGAUAAACGAGUAAACCAUUUUCUUUAAAA